GCCAGGCGCGGUGGCUCACGCCUGUAAUCCCAGCACUUUGGGAGGCUGAGGUGGGUGGAUCACCUGAGGUCAGGAGUUCGAGACAAGCCUGGCCAACAUGGUGAAACCCCGUCUCUA
rfam:Homo sapiens chromosome 2, GRCh38 reference primary assembly.